ACACACACAUAUAUAUAUACAUAUAAUAAACAUACACAUAAAAUAUUCCCAGGUAUAUAUGUGUGUGUGUAUGUACAUAUGUAAAUAAAUACAAAUAUAUAGUCAACACACCACACAAACUUGGGUGCACAAACACAUGAGUGUAUGUAUAAUAUACAUGAAUAUGUG